CGAGGGGCUACCCCAAACUGAAUGAUAAAAGUGACUAGAACUAGUUGAUUCAUCACCACGGUCAUUUUCUGUGGAGUAUAUGGCUGCUCAAACGAGGCCGGAAACACAAAGGGGGGAAAAGAUGUUUACAGAUUCCCCGCAAUCAUGAAACACCAUUGGCAAUACCAAUGAGAUAAGACUCAAGAACUCAGAGAAGCGAAGAAACCUUUUUGCCCGUCAAGACCUCAACCCAGACAGCUGUCAAUACAGGGUUUGCUACGAUCAUUUCAUCAUUGUGUAGAUGGCCAAGGAAGUUGCACAGAACUUCCCCAACAUCCCCUUCCAAAUUGAUAUGGAACCUUCAAAAGCACAUGGAGCAACUGCGGAAAGAAAUGGCUGAGGAUAGACAAAAAAUGUCUGAGUUCAACAAAGCCAACAACUGCUUCAUGUGGGCCACUGAUAAAGAACCUGGAUGUGGCCCAAAGACUGACUGGUAGGUUCACCAGCUGACCUAUAUCAAGACACCCAGGUUGACUGGAUUCCCCCUGUGAAGAUGAGUAAUGCUGCAGCAGCAUCAGUUUCUACUACUUCAUCUUUUUCCAGACAUGAAAGAAGACUCCCCUCAGUUAUAUGACAUGGUUGUCAUAUGCUGUGCUUUGGACAAUUUGAAUGAUUCUGUUGUGUCAAUUGAGUAGAGCACCUUGUCAUGACAAAAGUGCCCCCUUAAACUGUAUGAAUAUAAUGUAUUUGGAACGUUUCAAAGACUUGUUGAUAUUGUAAACAUACUGUACUUUAAGCCAUAUUGUUGUCCAAGUGUAAAGACAAGUAUUUUGUCAUCUUUGCUUUGCCUAGCCCCAUUGAAUAAAAAGUAUUUCUUAUGGCCCAACUAUUGCCAUGUUCCUUGCUUUUCAGAAACGUGGUUCUCAAACAAGGUGCACCCCAUGGCUAUCCAACUCGAUGGAUUCUUCUUUCACCAGGCAGACAGGAUAGUGGAGUUGGUUCCGGUCAUUUUAAUUUGGCGUCACUAAAUCAAAAAGAUAUAUAAUUCACAUGCGCCAAAUACAACAGGUAUAGAUAGACCUUACAGUGAAAUGCUUACUUACAAGCCCUUAGCCAACAAUGCAGUUAGGAAAAAUAAGUGUUAAAGUAUUUACUGAAAUAAACUGAAGAAAAUAAUGAAUAAAAAAAUUGGUGCAACAAUAAAAUAACAUUAGUCAAGGUAAUAUGUACAUGUAGGUAGAGGUAAAGUGACUAUGUUUGUAUAAUAAACAGAGUAGCAGAAAAAGUUUGGCAUGGGCUCUCAAAUCCUGAAAAGGUUCUACAACUGUACCUUUGAGAGCAUAUGGACUGGCUGCAUCACUGCUUGGUAUAGCAAUAGCAUCGCCCUCGAUCGCAUGGCGCUACAGAGGGUUGUAUGGGCAGCCCAGUACAUCACUGAGGCCGAGCUCCCUGCCAUCCUGGACCUCCAUAUCAGGUGAAAGACCCCAACCACCCAUGCCAUAGAUUCUCUGCUGCAGCACAGCAAGAGCUUGAACAGCUUCUAUCCCCAAGCAAUACGACUGAUAAUUAGCUAACAAAAUUGCUACACGGACCAAGUUUACCUUGCAUCUUUAUUGACCUUUUAUUUCAGUGUUUUACACCGUCUAUGCACACUCACAGGGCCCUACACACUGUCACUCCAAAACAAACACUCCAUUUUCUCACUCACACAUAAUAUGCACAUACAUUUAUACAAGCUACACACCCACACGCUGCUGUUACUCUGUUUAUCUUAUAUCCUGUUGCCUAAUCACCUUACCCCUAUACAUAUCUACCUCUAUCACCCCAGUAUCCCUGCACAUGUAAAUAUGGUAUUGGAACAAACUUUUUAAAUAUUUCCUGUAUAUAGUAUGUUUGUUUACUUUAUUGUGUAUUUCAUAUUUCUUGUGUGCUUUUUUCUAGAAAUACAUUUGAUUAUUGCAUUGCUG
ensembl:lncRNA